CAAUAAGCGGAGGAAAAGAACCAACAGGGAUUGCCUCAGUAACGGCGAGUGAAGCGGCAACAGCUCAAAUUUGAAAUCUGGCUCUUUCAGGGUCCGAGUUGUAAUUUGUAUAGGAUGUUUCGGGUGUGGCUCCGGUCUAAGUUCCUUGGAACAGGACGUCAUAGAGGGUGAGAAUCCCGUAUGUGACUGGAAGCCUUCGUCCAUGUGAAACUCCUUCGACGAGUCGAGUUGUUUGGGAAUGCAGCUCAAAAUGGGUGGUAAAUUUCAUCUAAAGCUAAAUACUGGCCAGAGACCGAUAGCGCACAAGUAGAGUGAUCGAAAGAUGAAAAGCACUUUGGAAAGAGAGUUAAAAAGUACGUGAAAUUGUUGAAAGGGAAGCGCUUGCAACCAGACUUGCUCGCGGUUGCUCAGCCGGUGUUCUCACCGGUGCACUCUUCCGCGAUCAGGCCAGCAUCGGUUUGGGCGGCUGGAUAAAGGCUCUGGGAAUGUGGCUCCUCUCGGGGAGUGUUAUAGCCCAGGGUGCAAUGCAGCCUGUCCGGAUCGAGGACCGCGCUUCGGCUAGGAUGCUGGCGUAAUGGUUGUAAGCGACCCGUCUUGAAACACGGACCAAGGAGUCUAACAUCUAUGCGAGUGUUUGGGUGUCAAACCCAUGCGCGUAAUGAAAGUGAACGGAGGUGGGAACCCUUAAGGGUGCACCAUCGACCGAUCCUGAAGUCUUCGGAUGGAUUUGAGUAAGAGCAUAGCUGUUGGGACCCGAAAGAUGGUGAACUAUGCCUGAAUAGGGUGAAGCCAGAGGAAACUCUGGUGGAGGCUCGCAGCGGUUCUGACGUGCAAUCGAUC
rnacentral:rRNA from 1 species